rnacentral:rRNA from 1 species
GGUUUAAUUCGAUGAUACGCGAGGAACCUUACCCGGGCUUGAAUUGCAGAGGAAGGAUUUGGAGACAAUGACGCCCUUCGGGGUCUCUGUGAAGGUGCUGCAUGGUUGUCGUCAGCUCGUGCCGUGAGGUGUCGGCUUAAGUGCCAUAACGAGCGCAACCCCUCUCCUUAGUUGCCAUCAGGUUAAGCUGGGCACUCUGGGGACACUGCCACCGUAAGGUGUGA